AUUGAACGCUGGCGGCAUGCCUUACACAUGCAAGUCGAACGGUAACGGGCCUUCGGGUGCCGACGAGUGGCGAACGGGUGAGUAAUGCAUCGGAACGUACCUUUCAGUGGGGGAUAACGUAGCGAAAGUUACGCUAAUACCGCAUAUUCUGUGAGCAGGAAAGCAGGGGAUCGCAAGACCUUACGCUGAUUGAGCGGCCGAUGUCAGAUUAGCUAGUUGGUGAGGUAAAGGCUCACCAAGGCGACGAUCUGUAGCGGGUCUGAGAGGAUGAUCCGCCACACUGGAACUGAGACACGGUCCAGACUCCUACGGGAGGCAGCAGUGGGGAAUUUUGGACAAUGGGGGCAACCCUGAUCCAGCCAUGCCGCGUGAGUGAAGAAGGCCUUCGGGUUGUAAAGCUCUUUCGGCCGGGAAGAAAUCGUAUGGGCUAAUACCCUGUGCGGAUGACGGUACCGGCAUAAGAAGCACCGGCUAACUACGUGCCAGCCGCCGCGGUAAAAC
rnacentral:rRNA from 1 species